rnacentral:rRNA from 1 species
CCCCUAGAUGUUCUGGGCCGCACGCGUGCUACACUGAACGGUUCAAUGGGUAAGGUAGUGCGAAAGCAUGACCUAAUCUCGAAAUCCGUUCGUGCUGGGGAUAGAAGCUUGCAAUUAUCCUUCUUGAACGAGGAAUACCUUGUAAGCGUGAGUCAUCAUCUCACGCUGAAUACGUCCCUGCCCUUUGUACACACCGCCCGUCGCUCCUACCGAUUGAGUGUUCCGGUGAGGCUUUGGGAGAAUGGCCUCAACAUGAGUUUAUCGUGUUUUGCCGUUUGAACUUAGUCAAACCUUAUCACUUAGAGGAAGGAGAAGUCGUAACA